rnacentral:rRNA from 1 species
UACGUAGGGUGCAAGCGUUAAUCGGAAUUACUGGGCGUAAAGCGUACGCAGGCGGCUAUGUAAGACAGGUGUGAAAUCCCCGGGCUUAACCUGGGAACUGCAUUUGUGACUGCAUGGCUGGAGUGCGGCAGAGGGGGGUGGAAUUCCGCGUGUAGCAGUGAAAUGCGUAGAUAUGCGGAGGAACACCGAUGGCGAAGGCAAUCCCCUGGGCCUGCACUGACGCUCAUGCACGAAAGCGUGGGGAGCAAACAGG